GAAUUUGGGGGGCAGGCCUAACACAUGCAAGUCGAGCGGUAGCACAGAGAGCUUGCUCUCGGGUGACGAGCGGCGGACGGGUGAGUAAUGUCUGGGAAACUGCCUGAUGGAGGGGGAUAACUACUGGAAACGGUAGCUAAUACCGCAUAACGUCGCAAGACCAAAGUGGGGGACCUUCGGGCCUCAUGCCAUCAGAUGUGCCCAGAUGGGAUUAGCUAGUAGGUGGGGUAAUGGCUCACCUAGGCGACGAUCCCUAGCUGGUCUGAGAGGAUGACCAGCCACACUGGAACUGAGACACGGUCCAGACUCCUACGGGAGGCAGCAGUGGGGAAUAUUGCACAAUGGGCGCAAGCCCUGAUGCAGCCAUGCCGCGUGUAUGAAGAAGGCCUUCGGGUUUGUAAAGUACUUUCAGCGAGGAGGAAGGCGUUAAGGUUAAUAACCUUGGCGAUUGACGUUACUCGCAGAAGAAGCACCGGCUAACUCCGUGCCAGCAGCCGCGGUAAUACGGAGGGUGCAAGCGUUAAUCGGAAUUACUGGGCGUAAAGCGCACGCAGGCGGUCUGUCAAGUUCGGAUGUUGAAAUCCCCGGGGCUCAACCUGGGAACUGCAUUCUGAAACUGGGCAGGCUAGAGUCCUUGUAGAGGGGGGGGAUAGAACUUCUCAGGUUGAUAGCGGCUGAAAUGCGUUAGAGAUCUGGGAGGAAUUACCCGGUUUGGCGAAGGCGGCCCCUCUUGGACAAAGACUGACGCUCAUGGUGCGAAAUGCCCGUGGGGAUGCCAAACAGGAUUAGAUACUCCUCUGCAAUUCGAAACUUGGCAGGCCUAGAAGUUCUUGUAGAAGGGGGGGUAGAAAUUCCAGGUGGUAGCGGUGAAAUGCGUAGAGGAUCUGGAGGAAUACCGGUGGCGAAGGCGGCCCCCUGGACAAAGACUGACGCUCAGGUGCGAAAGCGUGGGGAGCAAACAGGAUUAGAUACCCUGGUAGUCCACGCCGUAAACGAUGUCGACUUGGAGGUUGUGCCCUUGAGGCGUGGCUUCCGGAGCUAACGCGUUAAGUCGACCGCCUGGGGAGUACGGCCGCAAGGUUAAAACUCAAAUGAAUUGACGGGGGCCCGCACAAGCGGUGGAGCAUGUGGUUUAAUUCGAUGCAACGCGAAGAACCUUACCUACUCUUGACAUCCAGAGAACUUAGCAGAGAUGCUUUGGUGCCUUCGGGAACUCUGAGACAGGUGCUGCAUGGCUGUCGUCAGCUCGUGUUGUGAAAUGUUGGGUUAAGUCCCGCAACGAGCGCAACCCUUAUCCUUUGUUGCCAGCGGUCCGGCCGGGAACUCAAAGGAGACUGCCAGUGAUAAACUGGAGGAAGGUGGGGAUGACGUCAAGUCAUCAUGGCCCUUACGAGUAGGGCUACACACGUGCUACAAUGGCAUAUACAAAGAGAAGCGACCUCGCGAGAGCAAGCGGACCUCAUAAAGUAUGUCGUAGUCCGGAUUGGAGUCUGCAACUCGACUCCAUGAAGUCGGAAUCGCUAGUAAUCGUAGAUCAGAAUGCUACGGUGAAUACGUUCCCGGGCCUUGUACACACCGCCCGUCACACCAUGGGAGUGGGUUGCAAAAGAAGUAGGUAGCUUAACCUUCGGGAGGGCGCUUACCAACUUUGUGAUUCAAAAAAAAUG
rnacentral:rRNA from 1 species